AUGAACGUGGCGCUCAUGCUUCGUUGGGUUUGGCAGAUCUUAAGGGGAGAUGGAGGUUUGUGGCUGCAGCUGAUUGAGUCCAAGUACCUAUAGGGCCAGCCCCUCUUGGCUUGCUCGCUCUCGGCUGGGUCCCGGUUUUGGAAAUCUAUCCAGGACAUCAAGGAGGAGAUUAGGCUAGGUUUGCGGUUCUCGGUUGGUAAUGGGUCCAGGACCCAGUUUUGGUUGGCCCCCUGGCUUGAUGGGGAGCCUCUCCACAUGCGGUUUCCGAGGCUCUGCGAUUUGUGA
rnacentral:rRNA from 1 species